AUGAGAAUGUGUCACCUCAAGAAUCAAUGGAGAAUUGCAAAAAAAAAUAAAGAUGAUGGUGAAGAUGAUAAGGACCGGCGGUGGAGUCUUGAGCGGAAGGGAGUACAUCGCCGGAAUUGGAGGAGUUCAUCGAAGCUCGGCCGGAGCUCUUGCGGAGGAGGAGGAAGGCGGUCGGAUGAGUUUGCCGGCGGAGAGAAGUGGAGUCCGGUAGGGGUUGGUUACCGGAGGGGGAGUGGUCGGAAAUUAGCGGUGAUUUGCCGGAGUUUGUGGUGGUUGGCUGUUAGGGGUGGUGGUUGUUGGUGGUUGAUGGUGGUGGAGAGUUUUUGUGUGGUGGUGGAGUAUAGAGAGAGAAGAUAG